rnacentral:lncRNA from 1 species
CCCUCAAGUGACAGAAGAGGGCAUCAUAUCCAUUGCAACUGAACUUACAGAGGUCAAGUCCAGUAGCAAACACCAAACACGAAUAAGCAGCUGCAGUCCAGUCCACUUGGCAGACAGCACACAUGAAUCAGCAAUGGCAGUUCAAUCCAGAAGAAACCACAAGGUCCACCAACUGGCCCAAGUCCGAGGAAGCCGCAAGAAGACACAGGAACCUCCUGAGAAGUUCUUUGAAUAUGGGGCAUUACAUAAUUUCCAGCCUUGAUCUUGGUCUCAUGUUGGAAUCAUGUCUUUCUUCCUUGAGGAGAGGAAUGGCUGUAGAGUUGUUCUGGGGCUCAGAUGCAUCUUGAAAUGGACUCAUUGUCUAAUUCCUCACCGGGAAAUGUCAUUCAUAGCACUGAAGAACCUGGCUGCAAGAUGGACUCUCUAAGUGGUUGAGUUUCUCCGUCUGUGGCCCAUGGUCUCUGGCAUUCUCAUGACUUGUAUCAAUAAAACCUCUGGAGUCCCAAUACUGAGAAUGCGGGCCUGCCAAGUCGUCUGGCCUGAAGGCCACCUACCACCUUUACCAGCCUGAAGAGCCAUUGGUACUCAUCACAUACUUUCCCC